CCCUCGUUUUUGCUUCUUUGCCGUGGUGGAGCUAGCACCAUGGUCGGUGAAGGAGGUCGGAAAAAGAAGAUGGCUCUCUUCUACUCAAAGCCUUCAUCCAAGAAAGUGAAGACUGUCCCGUCUAAGUCUUCCAGCAUAGAUUGGGCCCCACUCUCCCCAAAGGUUCCAAGGGAGCCAGGAUGAGUUGUAAGGAGCUCUUUUCUUUCUAGAGGAGUGGACUGCUCGG
rnacentral:lncRNA from 1 species